UAAGGACACUCAGAUCCUGUCAUUUCACUAUUCUACAAAAUUUACAUUUCCAUUUUAUGUCUAAAAAGUAUUGCUAUUCUAGGGGCACCUGGAUGGCUCAGUGGGUUAAAGCCUCUGCCUUCUGCUCGGGUCAUGAUCCCAGGGUCCUGGGAUCGAGCCCUGCAUAGGGUUCUCUGCUCAGCGGGCAGCCUGCUUCCUCCUCUCUCUCUCUGCCUGCCUCUCUGCCUACUUGUGAUCUCUGCCUGUCAAAUAAAUAAAAUCUUUAAAUAUAUAUAUAUACCAGAAUAAACUUACAAAAUACAUCUUGGACCUGCUGUUCAUGCCUUUAAGCUAUGGCAGCAAUAUCCUGGCCCAGUUCCCCUCUGGACAGAAUUUUGCACCACAAAACUAACUCUAACCUUCCAAAAUACGCAAUAGGUGAGAAUAGUGAAAUAUGGGACUUGAUCUUUUUAAAGGUUACUACAAAAAUAAAAUGCAGAGGCAUUAGUGAUAUCCACUAAAUUCUCUGGCUUUACCAAGACAUUUGAUACCCUGAAUUUUGUAGCCAUUAGUCAGGUUUGGGAUUCCAAAAAUUUCAAGACUCUUGAAGUUUCUACUGUGUUAUAUCUGGUCCCAUUAAAUGACAAAGAACUUUGAAAAAUAGUAUUCAAAAUACUACACAAUUCAAAAUAGUGUUUCAAAGGUAGUAUUCAAAUAUAAAGUCAUAUUUUUACCAUCAGAAUCAGUGGGCUUCUCUAUUCUUCAAUACCUAUGGCUUGAAAUCUGAGACUAUACAAUUCUUCUUUCGUGCAGUUUAAAUGCCUUCUGGAAAGGAAAGGACUCUUACUCUGUCCAGUCUCCUUGCAUGGAUCUGUGCUUACUCUCACUGCUCUGCUGAAUGCUGAAAGCCUUGCUUGCAGAGGCCAUGCCAGUUGUUCACGUCUCCUACAGAGCUCCACCCUCCUGCACAGCCUCCCCCACUCUCUCUUCUUAUGCCAUAUGCCCUCAUUGGCUUCGUCCUGUCCCCUACUCCCCAACCCUCACUCAGGGCACGUAUCCAUGAGUGACACUUGAUGGAGUCCCUCUCCCCACACACAGGAUGUGAUACACAUGGGGUGCGAUUUUCAUCCUCCUCCUGAAAGUCAGGGAGCACUUUCCAGGCUGAUUCUCUGAAAAUUGGUAACAGGUUUUCUUCCAGAAAAUUGCAGGGCAAGUUGAACUCCAUCUAUUUUAAGGAAAUCCUCUUAAAGUUUCGAUUCUUAAAAAGCCAAAAGACUGCUUUUCUGGCUCUGCGAGUUAUACAUAUCUUGAAAUUAUGUCCUUGAGGUCCUAAGAUGAGAUAUUUUACAAUACUUCUGCUUGAAAAUACACAUCAGAAAUAUGAAUGAGGUCAUGCACAACAUUGUAGUCAGUUUACUGCGAAUAACAUGGUUCCAAAAAAAAACCCGAGGUUCUGUACCAACUAGUACCAGCUAAAGCUCUUCAAAUGUCUUGCAGAAUUGUGUGUUCCUUGAUCAGAUUCUGGGUUUCACACUGACUGAUCAAAGGGCAAGAAGGGACAUAAAAACCUAAUAUUGAAAAUAGAAUUAAAAGCUACAAUACUCCAGGCAGGUGAUAGGUUAGCCUCUGCUUGAUUGCCCCUGGUGAUCAAGUACCAAACUAAAGGUCUAAUCCACAUCUGAGCGUGAGCUGAAACAUGCCUCCCAUGACUUCUACCCUUUGUCUGGAUUUUGGUUUCCAGAGCAAUAUAUAGCAAAAAUACUACCUUUUUUCACAAAUGCCAAGACAGCCAGCUGGCUACUGUGUGCCCUUGUAAUCUGCUCUUCUCUAGACUAAAAAUAUACACCUCUUUAACGAUCCAAUUUGGCAUGGCUUUAAGUUUCUUUUCCAUUAUCCCCUGCUUCUCUGAGAACACUUUCAUUUGUCCGUAAUCCUCUAAAAAUAGAGCAAUUCUGUGUUAGAAUUGAACAGCAUUCCAGAUGUGAUCUGAUCAGUACAAAGUACAACACAAUGAUCAUCUUCCAUCCUUUGGAGAGUAUACUUUUAUUAUGUAUUUAUUUUUAAAGUUUGGGUUGUUUUUUGUUUGUUUGUUUGGUUGGUUGGUUGGUUUUUUUUUUAGUGAUCUCUACCCGUGGGUCUGAAACUCACAACUCCGAGAUCAAGAGUCACAUGCUCCUUUGACUGAGUCAGCCAUGCACCCCCCAGAGUAUACCUUUUUAAUGUCGUUUAACACAUAGGAAUUUUUCUAAAAAUAAGGUUUUACAGUGACUGUCAUGUAUGUUGCAGGCAUUCCACAAAUAUUUCUGAAUGUUAAAAGAUUAGCCAGCAUAUGUUGCUUAUUUUGUUUUUCUGUUUGUGUGUGUGUAUGUGUGUUUUAAAGAAAACUUGCAGAAUAUACAAUUAAAGAUUAUGGGACAUUUAGUUUUGUGUCCACCUUCUCAGUAUAUUUGAUAUUUAGGUUUAACAUGGAUAUGUCACCCUUUUUAAGGAAUGGUUAUAUUAGCAUCCGCAAGCAUUUUCACUUAAUUUUGAGUCAGUCUGUCAGCUGUUCAGAAGUGAUUCUUGCCUGCACAAAAUUCCACUGGAUAGGUCUUAUUCAGAGCAUGAAUGUAAGAAGAACUGAGACCACCCACUGUAUGGUGGCAAAACUUACAGAUAUCAUGGGCCUUCUCCAACAGAACAUGGGGAUAUUAUUGGGGAAGUAUCCCAAAUAGAAAGCUGACACAAUCUAUUUUCUAAUGUAAAUAUAGUCAUAGAUUUACUUAUUUAUUUUUGAGCAAAGUAGAUGUUUUCUCUAGUAAUGAGAGGGAUCAGGAGCAAGAAUAUCCUUCUCAAAAUUCACAUGGGCCAAGACUGGACAGAGUUAAGGAAACACCAUUUUGUCCAGGCAGAUUAUUGCUGGGAACGGGAUGUAAAAAUUAUCUGUGCACCAUCAUAUCUUCAGCAGUUGAUAGAAUGCUUGGCAAAGAGCAGACUCUCAAUAAAACUUUGGAAAGUAAGUCAAGAAGGAAGGCAGGGGAGAUAGGCUGGAGAGAAGUUUUCAGGAUUACUGUGAAAAUUUAAAAUACCAGAUAAAGACCCAAACACUUGUGCAAAAUGGGACCUCCAAAAUCAGUGUCCAGCCUCCUUAUUUUAGAUAUGGUAACUGGAGACAUGGAGGAGUUAAGUAACUUGUCUAGGAUGACGACUAGUUGUUACUGCAUCACUCCUUGAUGUUAGGACUCAGCUCUUAAGCCAGUGCUCCUUAUGUAAAUACCAGCAGAGCCUCAGAAGGAAUUACUAAGGGAAGACCCUGGGUUCUUGCAUUCUGGCCCCAGACUGUUUACCUUAGCAUGUCCAGAUUGGAGGAAACUUGAGAAGCAGUCUUAGCCCUCUCUGUAGUAUUCAGGGCUAGACCGGAGGAGAUCAAAAUCGGGCUCAGGACUUAGCACUCUCAAAGAAGACAGCUUGCCAGUAGAAGCUGGAGGCCAUGACAACACAGAUGAAAUUGUGCUUCUCCCUGCACUGUUGCUGGAGGAGGUUCACGCUAUCUCUGGAACACAGGGAAGAGUUCUGCAGCCCGUCUUUGGGAAACCUUUGGUUAAACGAGCUUCACCGCAGAACUUCCUGGUAUGAGUUUUGAAUCUCCAAAAAACAAACUGGUUCUCAGACUUUUUCAAACUUUUUCUUAAGAUGUAAUGGACUUGUUCUCCUAAGGAGUAAACUCGGAAACAAUGUUUUUCCUUUUUUUUCUUUUUUUCUGUGACUUCAGGUUGGGGGAUAGAUUUCGCUUCGGAAACCAGUACACACAUGCCUGUGAAUGUACCGCAGGCAGGAAUGUUUUAGGAGAAGCAGCAGUGACAGAGAAGAACCAAGAAACGGAAGAGGAGGACUGCACUGCCCGCAGAGAUUCUGAUACAGUGCUUAUGCAGACCCACGUGCCUUUUGAAGAAAACCUGAGUGAGCACAUCUGCCGUGCAGGUUGCAGCUUUUCAGCUUUAUGGAAAUAGCUGUGAUAUUCCUUUCCACCAUCUUUGUCUUUUCUUGGGCUCCUUCAGGUGGGAAGAAGUAUGCAUUAGAAUUUACUAUAAAUGUGAAUCUAGUUGUACUUAAUCUACUUUAUACAGAGACUCAACAACCAAAAAAAUCUCUAAAAGACAUAGAGCAUUAGAAUACAUUUGCAACCUAAUGGGAAUUUUUCCGUAAAAGAGGUGUGUAUAAUCUGUUCUUUUUCAGCAGGUAGCCUUGGGCGGUGGAUUGUUUUUAGUGGAAAGGAAAUAAAAAACAUGGUGUGGCACCUGGAUGGCACAGUUGGUUAAGCAUUGGAGUCUUGGUUUCCACUCCGGUUGUGAGCUCCUGGUUGUGAGAUCGAGCCCCACGUCAGGCUCUGUGCUCAUUCUGCUUGAGGUUUUCUCUGCCUGUCACUCUUGUGCUCUGUCUCUCUCACACACACUCAGUCAAAUAAAUCUUAAAAAAAAAAUAA